CAGAGACCAUGGUAUUAUCUACCAAUCCUCUCGUUUGACUUGCAUAUGAGGAAACUGAAGCUCAAAGAGGACAGUGAUUCCCCAAAGGUCACACAGCUCAAGAUCCUAAUCUCCUGCUUUCUAACUGAAUUCACUGCACCCUGCUGUGGCCGAUGGAACAAGCCCAAUCCCGUGCACACGCAGCAACAGGGACCUCCAAGAAUGAGAAGACAAGAACGAACCAUUGUGAUGUCUGGUCGUUCCUGCUGUUACACAUCCUACGAAGGAAUCAGAGAGGUCCAGGUUAUUCUCCCCAUCAUUCCAGUUCGUUUUUACUAAGGAAAUAAGCCAUCUCAGACAAAAGGUGUCCCUCUCUGGUUCCAACGCCUCUCAUAAUUGUGAACUCCAGCCACUAGUUAGGAAUCUCCUUGGAGGAGUUUUAUAGCUUCUCUUAAAGAAGUUGCUCUUGAUUUAUGCUGAUCACGUCUGACAGCCACCGUUUCUCUUAAUAAUAAUCAUAAAUAAGCAAGACAAGGUCACCUAACCUGAAACGAGCACGUCUCCACUGCCACAUCCAUCAUGGAGCCUGGAUCUACAGCAGCUCAUGACAAAGGUCUUCUCUUGGCACUCCACGUGAAAUCCCAUUUCUAGCACCUGCCCUGGCAUUUUAAUUUUACACCGUUUUCCUCCAAUAGCCUUACCUAACCAGAGACUCCUAGAGGACAGCAUUUACGAAAGCACUUAGCCCAGAGCAAGGGCAUACGCGGAGCCUGCUGCCUGCUCGUCAAGCAGCUUUUUUUCUUCCUCUUCACUCCAGUGUAACCGCCAAACCAAAAAAUAAAAGUCUUGAAAAAAAAAAAAAAAAACCUGAAAGCCACGGAAAUAAUGAAAUGGACUGGUAGAAACAAGACAGUAAAUUUGAGUGCAUGAAAGCACUGUGGGACACUGAAACAUACGUGGCCAUGUGGCCACACAUCGUCUGGACUUUGAAGACCAAGCCUGCGUGGAUUAGAAUAACAAGUGUUCAUUAACCAGGUACUGGGAAGGCCGGCAGCUGCUUUCCUGCUUGUUAUUUUUACUACUAUCAAUACGUUUCAAGCCCUUGGCCCUGGCCAUAAGACACAGCAGCCACUAUGUCACAUGGAAUGGCUCUGCCUUUUCAACUUGUCUUAAAUGGGGUUCUGCUCCAAGUGCUGUCUCUGCGAUGGAGGGGUGAAGUGAAGCAGAGUCAAAGAGCAUCAAAGACUGAAGAACCCCACCUGGCAAAUAAUAGACGUCAAGGUACUGACAGCCACGAUGAUUCCCUACCAUGCUUACAGCCUAACAUCCCCAUGGCCAAGCUCUGUCAUCUGUGAUGAGGUGAGCAGAUGGGGCUGUCCAUAUCAUAAAACUACAUCUGCAUACCUACAUGGUCCCUUAAGAUGGAUUUCUUUGAUUCUAGGAAGAUGACUGUUUUAUAAUGUUCACUGACCACAGCCCUUACAUUUGGGUUGGAACAUUCCAGAGUUUGUGCUCGCCUGUGAUGGGAGAACAGGAAGAAGCCACCCCAUGACUGACAGAACAAGCCUGUGGGGCAGUUGCUGGAGCAGUAGGAAAGGGGAGACCCUACAUCUGUCACUCACCCCAUCUUUUACUUCCAAAGAUGCUGCGGGCACUGAUCCCUGCAGGGACCUGGCUUCUGAGAGCGUGUGAAGAGCCUAGUGUUGCACAGAAGGGCAGUGAGAGGGCAGAGGGCAGGCCAGGAGGGCAGGAACCCAGGCCGCCCUGGCUUCAGCCAAGGCAUAGAAUUGCAUGUGGGGCUCUGCGUAAGUUUCAUUUCGUUUUUUUAAGCCCUUAGACUAAAGAAUGAGCAGGGGCAAUUUCUUUGGAAGCCACUUAAGAGCAGAGAUGAUUCCAGGCAAAAUUCUCAAGUAGCUUCAGUUAUUCUUGGUACCUUUUGCCUCUGUCUUUUUCUCUCCUUACCAUCCUUUCAUUUCACCUACCCCAAGACCUCCAGGGCCACCAGCUGUGACCUGGGCCCUCUUCUCCUUGCCCAUCAUAACUGACUGUCACGUGCCACCCAAAACUCUAAUUAACAAGUCAGUGGGCUUUAUAUAUUAGCUCUUCUGGAGUAUGUGCCUUUUGAUAGGAGAUUCUUAAAAAUGGCAAAGACUGCCUGGGUGUAGUGGCUCAUGCCUGUAAUCCCAGGACUUCGGGAGGCUGAGACGGGUGAAUCACUUGAGGUCAAGAGUUUGAGACCAGCCUGGCCAACAUGGUGAAACCGCGUCUCUACUAAAGAU
ensembl:lncRNA